rnacentral:rRNA from 1 species
GACGAACGCUGGCGGCGUGCUUAACACAUGCAAGUCGAACGGAAAGGCCCUGCUUUUGUGGGGUGCUCGAGUGGCGAACGGGUGAGUAACACGUGAGUAACCUGCCCUUGACUUUGGGAUAACUUCAGGAAACUGGGGCUAAUACCGGAUAGGAGCUCCUGCUGCAUGGUGGGGGUUGGAAAGUUUCGGCGGUUGGGGAUGGACUCGCGGCUUAUCAGCUUGUUGGUGGGGUAGUGGCUUACCAAGGCUUUGACGGGUAGCCGGCCUGAGAGGGUGACCGGCCACAUUGGGACUGAGAUACGGACCAGACUCCUACGGGAGGCAGCAGUGGGGAAGAUUGCACAAGGGGCGGAAGCCUGAUGCAGCAACGCCGCGUGCGGGAGGACGGCCUUCGGGUUGUAAACCGCUUUCGCCUGUGACGAAGAGUGAGUGACGGUAAUGGGUAAAGAAGCACCGGCUAACUACGUG